CAGGUCUGAAACUGGACUAAACCAGGACUAAACCAGGACUAAACCAGGUCUGAAACUGGUCUAAAUUAAGAUUAUACCAGGACUAAACCAGGACUAAACCAGGUCUGAAACUGGUUUAAACUAAGAUUAUACCAGGACUAAACCAGGACUGAACCAGGACUAAACCAGGACUAAACCAGGACUAAACCAGGACUAAACCAGGACUAAACCACGACCAAAACGUUAAAGACUUUAAUAUUACAUCUGGUUUUGUGGGUGGUCAUAAUGUUGUGGCUGACCCGCCCCAGUGUUUUUUUUGGCUCUGUUCUGUGUUAACUCUCACUUUUUCUUUGUAAAUAUUUUCUAUAAAGUUGAGCGUGUUUUUUUGUUUUGUUUUGUUUUCUGCAUGUUUGUUUGAAAGUGAUGACUGUAAAAACAACAGUCACAAGUUAAAAUCACUUGAAUUAAGUUUAGGGAAAAAACAUUGAAAAACAUGUAUCCUUAAUGUGAGGGCUCGCAUCUCCACAAACCUGACUCUUACUUGGCCUGGUCGAGGGGCUCCUGCUUGUUUCCAUGGAAAUGUGGGACAGUUAAGUGAUGAUGUCACUUCCAGGUUUAACCAGAAAUGUCACGGCUGAUUCCUCUGUUUUAGUUUUUGUUCUUUAUUCAUCAAGAAACGUUUCAAAAACUUAUAUUUAACCACAAACUGAAUCGAAUUUGUAAAUAAUGUCGUAAUUUACCACAGCGCAGGAUUAUCAGUGUGUAUGUCACUGUCAUCGCUAACACUAGCUUAGCCUGGUCGCGCUUCUUCCUUAAACCUUUUACACUUUAUGUCACAGUUAUAACCUUUAACAAAAAUGUGUCGCAGAAAAGAGAAAACAUGUCCAAUAUUUUCAAUCAGCUGAUGAACCUUUGACCCGGAAGUGACAUCACACGUAAUUUAACCACAGAGACGCACUGAUCCGGGCUUUUCUUACCCGAUAUCAACCAAUACUAAGAGAGACUGAAAAUAUUUAUUUAUAUUCAUUUAUUUCUUUUAAACACAAACAGUGUGAGGUAAAAUGAUCCAAAUGUUUUUGGUUUUUUUUUAACUUUUAUUUAUCAUUUAAAGCGUCAAACUCAAUUUCAUCAAGGGCCACAAAGGCAAAAUGAGAUGUAAAAGAUGUAAAAAAUAUGUCUGUGUCUGUCCUUAUAAACUGACAUACAUUUUAUUUUACCUCGUUACGGGCCACAUAAAAUGAGAUGGCGGGCCGCAUUUGGCCCCCGGGCCUUGAAUUUGACACAUGUGAUUUAAAGUAACAACGGAACAUUUUUAAUAUUAUGAGAUGUUUUUGUCCAGUAAUUGGUCUUAUACAUCGAUUUAUAGACCAGAGUGAGGUAUCGACUGAACAGAGGGCCUGGAAGUCGAUAUCUGAUUCACCAAAUGUUUGAAUAUCAGCUUCAGUAUCAAACGGAGUAUCAAACACAGAAUCAAACGCAGAAUCAAACACAGUAUCAAACACAGAAUCAAACGCAGAAUCAAACACAGAAUCAAAUGCAGUAUCAAACGCAGAAUCAAACACAGUAUCAAACACAGAAUCAAACGCGGAAUCAAACGGAGAAUCAAACACAGAAUCGAACGCAGUAUCGUAUCAGUGCAUCUUUGUUUAUAACCCUGUGUGUCAUUAAACAUAUCUAUCCCAAUGGAGAAUGUUUUGAAGUGUGGUUUUACCUUUUGGUUUCCAUGGAAUCGUGCAGCUGACCCUCCUGAAGGUUACACACUGUAGCUUUAGUGUCCUCCGCUGUGUGAGUUGGGGUGUGUGUGUGUGUGUGUGUGUGUGUGUGACCUGUUGUGUUUCUUGUGUAGAAGUUGGUGACAGACGAUGUUUGGGUCUGAGUCCAGUGUUUAUAUCUGACCCAACAUGACACGACCACAUUUAGAUCUGAUGAACAGGCGAGGAAAGAUCCGUCAGUGUGGCAUUAAAUACACAUGUAGAGCUGCACAGCAUGUGGUCCUGGUUUAGUCCUGGUUCAGUCCUGGUUCAGUCCUGGUUUAGUCCUGGUUUACUCCUGGUUUAGUCCUGGUUUAGUCCUGGUUUAGUCCUGGUUUAGUCCUGGUUUAGUCCUGGUUUAGACCUGGUUUAGUCCUGGUUUAGUCCUGGUUUAGUCCUCUUCCAUUAGCUCAUUAGGGUUAGUUCUGGGUCAAAUGCUUUGUCUGUGUGUGCUUUAAAGUGUUAUUUCUGUAUUUACUUGUGAAUAUUAAAAUACCUGUGUGAUUUUGACCUGAUUUUGACCUGAUUUUGACCUGAUUUGACGUCUUGAGUCUGAUUGUACUAAACUUCAUAUGUCCUCUGUAUAUUCUGUAUAUUUCUAUGUCACAGAGAAUUCUAUAUUUAUCUGAAAGAGUAAAACAGCAC
ensembl:lncRNA